rnacentral:rRNA from 1 species
ACUACAUUGACACACCGGUUCUCGUCCGAUCACCAAUGUUAAGCAACGUUGGGCCCGGUUAGUACUUGCAUGGGUGACCGCCUGGGAAUACCGGGU